rnacentral:tRNA from 1 species
UGGGCCGUUAGCUCAGUUGGUAGAGCAGCUGACUCUUAAUCAGCGGGUCGCGGGUUCGAGCCCCUCACGGCCCAUUGG